UUUAUUUUGACACAAUAAGCGGAAAUAGCAACCGGAAGUCUCCCCUUAUUCUUUGCCAGUUUCACACGGCUGAGAUACCCGUUCUUUAUUUCAGACGCCAUUUCUCAGACGCUUGUGUAUUACGUACAAACUUUAAAAAUGACAGUACUGCAGAAUUUAAACGCUUAUUUAACCGAGCGCUUAAUGGUGGCAGCUGGAGAGAUACUGGAAGUAGUGGCAAAAACGAUUUUGGAGUAUCAGGAUGAAACUGCUCGAACGAUGAAGGAAAACGAGGAACUUCGGCGCAGGCUCCGAGAGGUCGGGGGACAAAAUAAGCUAAUGUCGGAUAGUGCCCACCAUGUUGCUCCCCCUGUCUCCAGUGGAGCAGCUCCUCAGGGUCAACAUCCCCAUGAGCAACAGUGUAACUCCGGUCUGGAGGAGGACAGGGAACCUCAGCAGACUGACAUUAAGCAGGAAUUCCCCGAGCAGCAUGAGAGCAAACCAGAGCAGGGAGUCGUGGACCUGAACAAGCAGGCAUCAGCCUUCACGUGUACUGAAAAUCCUUCUGAACUCAGGAUCCACCAAACCUCACUUCCUUUUGAGGAGAAGAAUGAAGAAGUGGGGUGUCUUCCUCAUAUGUUACCUGACCAGAUUAAAUCUGAGCUGGAUGAACUGGAUUACAGUAUACAAGAACACCCUAUUUUCUCACAGCCUCUCAACAGAAUAAAUAAUGGCAGUAAUACUGCUGAAAGUGAAAACCUUGUAGACAUGAACUGGAUGGAAAGUGGUGGAGUAAUGCCAGAGCUUAACGAACAGGACUCUGGUAGAGAAGUGUGUGACAUCCCAGUGGUUGGUGGAUUGCAGCAUGUCCCUUGUACCUCGUUAAAAGGUCAAACAACGGAGGACAAAACCAUCGCAUCAAAGGCUUCACAGAUGGACUGUAAAACGUUCUAUGGUGCAAGGCCACGCAAUUUUUUGGCCCUCAUACCAGAAAAUCCUCAAGACUCUGAUGUUGAUUUGAGUGAUGAAGAUGAUGACCAGACAGACGAUCCUGAUUAUCAGCCCACACAAGGAGAAGACACUGGGGACACUUCUUUUGAAUCCAUGGAUGAGGAGGAGAUUGAACCCACAAGCUCAUAUUCUAAACCACCACCUCAUAAGAAGAGAAGAAAAGGAAAAAACACACUAAAAACUGUUUCUAUGGUGGAGCCAGAGGACACCUCUGAACCUCCAGGGCCAAACAAAGUCACUCGCAGAAUCUGGAAGUAUGAAGAUAUUGAGGAAUUCCAGGUUCCUGAUUCAAGGUUUGAAGCUCCCGAUGCUGUGAAAACACCCUUCCAGUAUUUCAAAACACUUUUCACAGAUGAGAUGAUUGAACAUAUUGUUCAACAUACCAACCUUUACUCUGCCCAAGAGUUGAGGGAUCCAAUCAAGACUAGCCCUGUGGAGAUCGAAAGUUUCCUGGCAAUACUAAUCUUCAUGGGUGUUUUUAGUUACCCAGCUAUGGAGGACUACUGGCACCACGAGUCACGUUUCAACAUGAUAGCUGAUAUCAUGCCAAGGAAAAGAUUCAAGCUGUUGCACCGGUUCAUUCAUUUCAAUGAUAAUUAUCAGUUCAACAACAGCCCAGACAGAUUUUAUAAAAUCCGCCCCCUUUUUGAGAUGCUCCGUGAGCAGUGUCUCCUGAUCCCAUCCACUUACAAGCACAGUGUGGAUGAGGUCAUGGUGGCAUAUAAAGGCAAAGGGGCUGGCACACUCCGCCAGUAUAUUGCCAACAAGCCAGACAAGUGGGGCUUUAAAUUAUUUUGCCGGGCAAGUUCAUCUGGCAUUAUCCAUGACCUACUGCUCUAUCAAGGGGCAUCCACAUUUUUCAAUGUUGCGCUAAGUGAGCAGGAGCAGGAGCUACCUCUAGGAGCCAAACUGGUGACAACUCUAUGCAAAACCAUAAAAGAGCCGCAGCUUUCAGUUGUCUUCUGUCACAACUAUUUUACCAGUUUUGACUUGAUACACAACCUGCACGCAAACCUGGGAGUCAAAUGCAUUGGCACCGUCCGGUCCAACCGCAUGGGUGGAGCUUCCCUAAUGACAGACAAAGAGCUGAUGAAGAAUGGAUGUGGAGCUUAUGAUUACAGGUCUGCUGAAGGGGUGAUCGCAGUGAAAUGGUUUGACGACAAAUGUGUCAACCUAAUGAGCAAUGCCUGUGGGAUCAAGCCUCUUUCAACUGUUAAACGCUGGAGCAAAGAAGCCCAUGCAGAAGUUGCUGUCCCAUGCCCAUCACUCAUUCAUGCCUACAAUCAGCAUAUGGGAGGCAUCGAUCUUUUUGACAUGCUGGUACACAUGUACAAGACCCCAACAAAGUCAAGGCGAUGGUACUUUCCACUGUUUGGAUACAUCCUUGACCUGUGCAUCUCAAACUCCUGGCUUAUCUACAAGAGGGACUGUGCCCUACUGAAUGAGAAACCAAUCUCUCUCAAAAGGUUUCGUCUGGCAGUUGGACACUGUUUGAGGCAAGUCAACAAGCCAGCAUCUAAAGCUGGCCGACCAUCAUCCUCCUCUCCACCACACAUGUUGCUUCAGAAGAAACGCUACACCCCACGACCCUCACAACCACAACCAGAUGUGCGUUAUGACAACUAUGGUCAUCUGCCACUUCACUGUGACAGGCGGGGACGGUGCAACCUCUGUCCAAAGGGUGUGUCGAGGUGGAAAUGCCAGAAGUGCAACGUGUUCCUGUGCUUGAAUUUACACCAGCAGUGCUUUGUGGCAUACCACCAGAAAUAAGGGAGCUCUAAUUCCCAAAAACCUGCUGUUGCAGGUGGUUCCGUUGCUUACUGUUCUGUAAGACAGAUUUGAGGAAGUUUUAUGGCUUUUGCUGAGAAGUUUUAAGAGAAGUUUUUAUCUCAACCUUUUGGUAGAGGCAUGUGGUUUAAAAACUAUGGGGUUGUUUGAAUUAAAAAGUUGAACAUUAUUGUUAUUAUUGCCCCAAAUGAAUAAAAAAUGCAAAGAAAAUUUUUUUUCGUUGCUUUUUUCUUGGUGUGGACAUUAAUGGGCUAACCACACUAAUCUGUACUCUGUCCAGAAGUUUUUAGAGCCCAUAAAGACCACCUCUCAUGAAAUUAAAUGUUUCCUGGCCAUUCUGUUGUACAUGGGAGUUUUCGAUUGCCCAUCCAUAGAUGAUUACUGACACCAUCAUUCAAGGUCCAGCCUGGUAGCUGAUAUUAUGCCUUAUCCAAGCCUCCAAUGAAAACAUGGAGUUCAAGUUUUGACAAAUCUGAUAUGCUUGUGCACCUAUACAAGACCCCCAUGAAAUCAAGGAGGUGGUAUUUUCCACUGUCUGGCUACAUGCUUGACCUCUCUGUGUGAAAUUCAUGGAUUCUUUACAAGAGACGAUGUCAGCUGCUAAAUGAGAAGCCAGUGCUUCUGAAGAAUUUUCAUUGGAGUAUUGCUUCCAGUCUGAAGUUCAUCAACAAGCCCCCAAUUGGCAGGCCACCAUGUUCCUUGCCUCCUGCUGAGCAACCAAAAAGCUGCAAGACCUUCCCAACCAACGCCAGAUGUGCGAUUUGAUAACGUUGCACAUUGGCCCUUCCACUCUGACAACCUGGUCAGAUGUAGCUUCUGUCCAAAAGGAGUGUUCUUGUAUAUGAACAUGAACCAGAAUUGCUUCUUCAUAUACCACCAUAAAAAAUGAAGUGCCAUACAGAAAGCCAAAGAGGACUGAAGAGGCUUGUAGAGAGAAGAUAACACACAUAAACUGCCAAAGUUCUGUGUCAAAUUAAAGAGGAGACUUCCAGAAACUCUUGAGCAUCAAAUGCCAUCAUUUUUCAAAACAUCAAUCUGAACAGAAUCUCCAGACGUUCUAGGUGCAGUGUGCUACAUGACAUUACUAAGGUCAUAAACGCUGAAGCAUGGCCUCCACUCAAUAAGGCAUGUAAGGUAUAACAUUAAGAAUGGACACGGACACAUCUCAAGACUGAUGGUACAAAGGUUUUGGGGGCAGAUGAGAUGAAAGUUACUCUUGAUGGAGCAGAUGGAUGGGCUAGUGGAUGGAGAUCCUCUUCAAGCACCAACCAAGUGGUGGAGGAGAGAUGACGUGAGCUGCAAUUAUCAGUGAUGGACCUGUCAGACCUUUCUGACUUACAGAUUAACCACAUGGUCUACUGCCAGUUUCUAGAAGAUACCUUCUUCAAACACUGGCACAAGAAGCCGUCAACAGUUUUCUGAAAAGUUAUGAUAUUCCUGCAAGACAGUGCCCCUCCCUAUGCAUCAAAGUACAGUGGUACCUCGGUUCUCUAACUUGAUCCGUUCCGGACUCCGGAUCGAAUCCUAA